rnacentral:rRNA from 1 species
AUUGAACGCUGGCGGCACGCCUAACACAUGCAAGUCGAGCGGUAGCGGGAUUAGUAGCAAUACUAAUUGCCGACGAGCGGCGGACGGGUGAGGAAGACGUAGGAACUUGCCCUUUAGAGUGGGAUAACCAAGGGAAACUUUGGCUAAUACCGCAUAAACUCGAGAGAGCAAAGCUGCCUUAGGGUGGCGCUGAAGGAGAGGCCUGCGUCCGAUUAGCUAGUUGGUAGGGUAAGAGCCUACCAAGGCGAUGAUCGGUAACUGGUCUGAGAGGACGACCAGUCACACUGGGACUGAGACACGGCCCAGACUCCUACGGGAGGCAG